CGGCAAACGAUUAACAAGCUGAGCUGAAAAACAACUUUGAUAUUCGUUUUGAUUUGGAGCUCGUGAACAGUUUUCUUCAGGACAUUCGAUUGAAGGUGGAACCUAUCCUAGCUUACGAUAAUCAAGUUGGCCUUGGCAAACUGUCAAGUCAUUCGGAGUAUUGAAAUUUAUUCACUUUGACGAUGGACGGCAAACGAUUAACAAGCUGAGCUGGAAAACAACUUUGAUAUUCGUUCUGAUUUGGAGCUCGUGAACAGUUUUCUUCAGGACAUUCGAUUGAAGGUGGAACCUAUCCUAGCUUACGUUUUGGUAAGGGACAAAAUGGUGGAGGCCAAUCGCUUCACCACGCUGGCAAAGCGUUCCAACAUGAGUUCCGGGGAUCUGCAGAUGGCGCAGCUGGAGCAGACCGACGAGCUGAGGUGGAGUCCCCGCCAGCAGAAGGAGCCUCCCAGCCAGGAGUGCGAGCCGGGGACUAAUGCUGCCCACCUGGCGCCACUGUCACUUUGGCACGAUGACCGAUCCGAAACGCAAGGGCACUAAACUGGCACAACCGAAUCCGGGGGUUGAAGUGCCAUCCAAUCCAAUGGCACCAGCUGCUGCCGUUCCGGGUCUUUACAACUCCAGCUUUAGUUUGAUAUCACCCAUCAAAUCUUUGCUUCCGGGCUCUAACGCUCUGAGUUCCGUUGCUCGUCCAGAGACCCCCCUCGUUCGACUGGUGAGGCCUCAGUCCCUCGAUCCAUCGUCAAACCUUCAGGGAUGAAUUCUUGAGCUCCUGGCACUGCCAGCGGAAGACCUUUGAUUAUAUGUUAGAACUUAUUCAGGGUCACCUAUAUAGCGUAUAGGGUAUCCUGUAUAGGGUAUAACCCAUAAUUAAAGGUCUUUCGCUGACAGUCCCAUGAGUUGAAGAAUUUAUCCCUGAAGGUUUAACGACGGGUCGACGAACUGAGGCCCUCACCGGUAGGAUGGUAGCGGUCUCUGGGCGAGCAACGCAACGCAGAGCCUUAAAGCCCGGAAGCAUAGAUGUUAUGGGUGACAUCGAACUAAAGCUAGGUUUGUUAAGACCCGAAACGGAAGUGGCAGGUGCCACCGGAUUGGAUGACUCUCCGAUCCUCGGGAUCUGGCCCGGAAGCGAAGAUCCCCUGGUUGACAUCGAACUGGAGCUGCAGUUCUUACGAGCCGGAACGGCAACAGCACGUUUCACUGGAUUGGAUGGCACCAUCUACAUUGAUGUUAGUCCAAAAUCACAAAGAUUUUUGAUUUUUGUUAGUGAUUUUCUCAAAAACUUGUCCUUAUU